AAAAAACGUAGGAUUUGUUUUCCCGAGGGAAUGAGGGCUAUUAUUUAAUUGUAGUGUUUACGUGGUAAUGUAAUUUGUAAUUAAAUCAUAGUAAUGAGAUAUUAAUCGGUUAUUUGGAUAUCUGGUUAUACACGAAAUAGUUUAGGCUAGAAAUUAUAUCAAAACUUAUAAGAUUAGUUAUGAGUUGUAUUAAUUAUAAAAGGAUAAUAAUUAUUAAUUGCUUUAAUAGUAUGUAUAAUAGUGUGUUAUAACAAAUAGUUUUAAGAUGAGGAUUAUUAGGUAUAUUAGGUUAAUAGUGUAUAAUGUUAGUUAAUUUGACAGUAAUAAUUAUAAUGAUAGGAUAAGUAUAUAAGUUGAUUAGAAUAAAGUGUGUUUAAUAAGUAGUAAGAUAAAAGCAAAAGAGAUUUAAGUGAAUAACUCGGCAAAUAAAUUCUAAAAUGUUUAACAAAAACAUUUCCUUUAAUUGUUUAAGGUAAAGCCUGCCCGGUGUAAAUAAACGGCUGCGGUAUCCUGACCGUACGAAGGUAGCAUAAUAAAUAGUCUUUUAAUUGGGGACUGGAAUGAAAGGUUUAAUUAGGAAUUGACUUUUUUAUUUAAAGAGGUAUAAUUUUAUUAUCAAGUAAAAAGGCUUGGUUAGUAUAAAGUGACAAGAAGACCCUAAGAGUUUUAUAAGUGUAGUAUAUGAAAUUAGUUGGAAGUAAAUUAUUAAAUAUAUGAAAUUUAUUUGACUGGGGCGGUUAAAAUAUUACCAAUUUUGGAGAUUACUUAAAUAAGAGUAGCGAAUAUAAUUAUAUCCUUUUUGGAACUCAAUAUAAAUUACCUUAGGGAUAACAGCAUAAUCUUUUUUGAGAGACCGUAUUGACAAAAAGGUUUGUGACCUCGAUGUUGGAUUUGAAUAACUAUAUGAAGCAGCAUUUAUAUAAGUUGUCUGUUCGACCAUUAAAUU
rnacentral:rRNA from 1 species